rnacentral:misc_RNA from 1 species
AAAAAAACAGUUUCAUCUCAUUUCAUUCAGAAACAAGGAAGAGGGGGAAAUGAGCAAAGUUCCUCAAAAUCCAGCAUCAAUGAACAACCUCAAAGUCUUUUAGAAUCCCUUGGACGGCUCUGAUAGCACAGGAAAACCCAAAGGACCCCUUCCCCUACCAAAAAAGAGCUCAUCCCUAUCUUUCUCUUCUUUAAUAAACAAAUAAAUUAAAGCUCAAGUACAAGAACAAUCUCAAGAAACAUCUUUUGUUCAUGAGAUAUACGUUCUUGCUAUAAUGUAACUUUAAUGGAAACUACUAAUAACACAUUAAUCCUAGCUGCAAAACUUAUGGGCAUGCAAU